CAGUCGCCGCGGGAAUACGAAGGGUGCAAGCGUUACUCGGAAUUACUGGGCGUAAAGCGUGCGUAGGUGGUGGUUUAAGUCCGUUGUGAAAGCCCUGGGCUCAACCUGGGAAUCGCAGUGGAUACUGGGUCACUAGAGUGUGGUAGAGGAUAGUGGAAUUUCCGGUGUAGCAGUGAAAUGCGUAGAGAUCGGAAGGAACAUCUGUGGCGAAGGCGGCCAUCUGCGACAACACUGACGCUGAAGCACGAAAGCGUGGGGAGCAAACAGGAUUAGAUACCCCGGUAGUCCCUGUCUCUUAUAC
rnacentral:rRNA from 1 species